rnacentral:piRNA from 1 species
GAGGUGACUUAUAAUCUGUCUGUUUGGAC